rnacentral:sRNA from 1 species
AACGAGGUACAGUUCUGUUUAUGUGUGGCAUUUUCAGUAAAGAAGUCCUGAGUAAACACGUUGACGUUGAAUACCGCUUCUCUGCCGAACCUUAAAUUAGUGCCUCAUGCAGUCAUGUCUCAGUUUUAUCUAUAGUAAGCGCCUUCGGGCAAAGAAAACACUCUAAGGAAUUUUGCAAAUGGCAAAGAUUAAAGGUCAAGUUAAGUGGUUCAACGAGUCUAAAGGUUUUGGUUUCAUUACUCCGGCAGACGGCAGCAAAGAUGUAUUCGUACACUUCUCUGCAAUCCAGGGUAACGGCUUCAAAACUCUGGCCGAAGGCCAGAACGUUGAGUUUGAAAUUCAGGACGGCCAGAAAGGCCCGGCUGCUGUUAACGUAACCGCAAUCUGAAUCCAAUCCCACUGAUCUUGUCGCGCUUCGGCGCAUCAACCUCAGCCAUAAAGCCUCGCAUUUGCGGGGCUUUUUAAU